AGCUUGACUCUAGUCCGGCAUUGUAAGGCGAUAUAAGAGGUGCAGAAUAGGUGGGAGCCGGGGUAAAACACUAUCUCCCCGGCACCAAUGAGAUACCACCACUCUUACUGUUGCCUUACUUACAUGAUCAGGUGGAACAAGUGCCAAGGUAUAUUAUUCCUACAAGCAUGUGAGCGAUAUUGGACGGAAACAAGCUGGGUCCUGUGAGGAGUGAUUGGUUUUCGCUAUAGGGAUAACUAAACUCUCUCUCCAUUCUUCGGGAUAGGAGUCUGAUAGCCACAACUGAUUGAAAAGUU
rnacentral:rRNA from 1 species